rnacentral:lncRNA from 1 species
GGAGAGGAAAUGGUUGAAUAUGACUUAUUCCAAUCAUGGGGCCCUGAGAAGACUCUCCGUGAUCUAGCUCCCUCUAUUACCAGAAAUAUGUUGGUCCCUGAACAUCCCAAGAGAUUGUUCAAAAUCUUAAAAAACAAAACAAAGCAAUACAUCUCAAAUCUGGCUUUCAAUAAGGCACCAACAAUUUCUGCCUUCAAAAGAACACUUCUUUCAUAAUGAGCGCAUGUGGAUGUUCCCAUGAAGACACAGUGGAUCAUUGAGUGACAGACUCGGGGAGGUUUUGAACUUGAAAAGCAACAUGUUGUGACUUGGAAAUGUCCUAAUCAGAUGUCUCGUCGAUCUGCUGCCCAGGUGAGGGGAGUGGAGUCGGAAGAGAGCCUCCAGCUGUUGCUUCCUUCAGGAUCAGAAGCUGCAGAGAAGAACCUUAAGCAAGGCCAUGUACUCCCAGGGCAGCCACAUCCUCUGACUGAGGGAGGCAGAGGCACAAAGGCCCAGCUGUUCCUCUCCAAAGGGGAUGCCCGAUGGGCCACACUAGCUCCAUCACUCCUCGCUGAAUUGGCCAAGGCUUUGUUUCCCUUUUUCCUCUGCUCAAUACUGCUUCUUUCCCUCGCAUCCUGCUUUUUCACAUGUGCUGAUCCCUAAUAAACAUCUUGUACUUCAAACUUGGGCUAAUUGUUUGCUGCCAGAGAACGUGAUCUAAGACACUAUUUCUUUCUGUCCAUAUUGCUCUUUGUUCAGAUUAGUUCAGAAUAUAUUUGGAACCAAGGACAGAUCCUCUAUUUAUAUUAAAUGUGAUUUUAAAAAUAUUGAACCACAAAAUAUUGAAUUCCAGUUUGUCAGGAUCAUUUUGGAUAUAAUUUUACCCUCCUAGGCAUUUGCUUCACCCAGAUUUGUGUCAUCUUAACAUACGAUUACCAGCAACUAUUUCCCAAAGUUUUUGGUAAAAUGUUAACCAAGUCGUUUUUGAAGAUGAGUCCUAUUCACUAGUCUGGACUAACACAUGUCAAUUAAUUAGUGUUUACUGGUUAUGAUUAUUCAGUUAAGAAUUGUUUUAUUCUAUUUUGAUAUUGCCAGAGUAACAUUAAAGAGAUUAUUACUCCUAAAUAAUUUUUUAUUGCAAUAUAAAUUAUAUACGGAAAGGUGCACAAAACCUAAGUCUAAGAUUAACGUGUGGGCGCACUCCUGUGCCCGCCAUGUCAAUCAGGAAUUGGAAUAUUACUAGCAGCUCAAAAGCCCUUCAAACCCCUAACAUGAUCCUCUUUCCUAAAAGUAGCUGUGUUCCUAGCUUUAACAUCAUAGGUUAUUUUGAUUUUAUUUUAGUACUUUUAUGUAAAUUGAAUGUUAUGGCUGAUAGUCCUUUGUGUGUCUGAGAUUAUUCAUGGAAUGUUAUGUUUGUGAGAUUGAUAAAUAUUA